CAUCCAAGACCAACUUGGGCUGUGGAUGUGGCAGCAAAGUAGCGCCGGGUCUAGCUGACAACGUGUCUCCUGCAGUGCACUCACAAGUGUAGCUAGUUGUGUUUGGUUUUCUAGAUUUUCACAUUGUAAGCUGUCAAGUGCCAGUGCCAUGUUUGCCAGGCUGGCCUUGUGCACUCGCCUGCCAUCCAGAAUCAGACAGUCCAAUGUCUGUCCAGUCUCCAUCAGAUCACAUUCCCAGGUUAAAUUCCCACGUCCCCAUGGAAAGUCUUUUGUCCACCGCAGUGAGUUAAAGCAGGCCAAGCGUAUAGUAGUGAAGCUGGGAAGUGCUGUGGUGACACGCGACGAGUGCGGUCUGGCACUGGGACGACUGGCCUCGAUAGUAGAGCAGGUGGCCAUGCUGCAGAACCAAGGCAGGGAGAUGAUGAUUGUAACCAGUGGGGCUGUGGCAUUUGGGAAGCAGAGACUAAGACAUGAGAUCCUGCUGUCUCAAAGCGUCAGACAAGCCUUGCAUUCUGGACAGAACCAACUCAAAGAAAUGUCCGUUCCAGUUUUGGAGGCGAGGGCAUGUGCAGCUGCUGGACAGAGCGGUCUGAUGGCGUUGUAUGAAGCUAUGUUUACCCAGUACAGCACCUGCACUGCACAAAUUCUGGUCACCAACCUGGAUUUUCAUGAUGAGCAGAAGCGUCGCAACCUGAACAGCACGCUCCAUGAACUGCUGCGGAUGAACAUAGUUCCGAUCAUCAACACCAACGAUGCUGUUGUUCCGCCCCCUGUUCCCAACAGUGAUCUGCAGGGGGUAAAUGUAAUAAGCAUCAAAGAUAAUGACAGCUUGGCUGCACGGCUGGCUGUUGAAAUGAAAGCAGACCUCCUUAUCGCCCUGUCUGAUGUUGAAGGCUUAUACGACAGUCCCCCAGGAACAGAUGAUGCCAAGCUUAUUGAUAUAUUCUACCCUGGAGACCAGCAGUCAAUCACGUUUGGCACCAAGUCCAGAGUCGGCAGUGGUGGCAUGGAAGCCAAGGUGAAAGCCGCCCUUUGGGCACUACAGGGUGGGACGUCCGUUGUCAUUGCCAACGGCACACAUCCUAAAGUCACAGGCCACGUCAUCACAGACAUUGUGGAAGGGAAGAAAGUUGGCACCUUCUUCUCUGAGGUGAAACCUGCAGGUCCAACUGUGGAGCAGCAGACCGAGAUGGCCCGGCAUGCAGGCAGGGCUCUGGCCUCCCUGGACCCUGAACAGAGAGGGGAGAUCAUCUGCUGUCUUGCUGAGCUACUUACAGAGAAGAAAGAUGAGAUUCUCAGUGCCAACAGGAGAGACAUGGAGUUUGCAAAUUCAUCAGGUCGUCUCUCCCAGCCUCUGAUCAACCGCCUGAGUCUGUCAACUGCUAAGCUGAACAGCCUUGCCAUUGGCCUCCGUCAGCUUGCCGUGUCCUCCAGGGAUAGCGUGGGUCGGGUGCUGAGGAGGACCAGGGUGGCCAACAACCUAGAGCUGGAACAAAUUACUGUCCCCAUCGGUGUGCUGCUGGUCAUCUUUGAGUCCCGUCCUGAUUGUCUCCCUCAGGUGGCAGCUCUGGCUAUUGCCAGUGGAAAUGCUUUGCUACUGAAGGGGGGUAAAGAAGCUUCCAACACCAAUAAAAUUCUACAUCAACUCACUCAGGAAGCACUUUCCAUUCAUGGAGUGGCGGAUGCCAUUCAACUGGUGAGCACGCGUGAAGAAGUGGAGGAUCUGUGCAGGCUCGACAAGUUGAUCGACCUGAUCAUUCCAAGGGGCUCGUCCCAGCUGGUCCGGAACAUCCAAAGGGCAGCUAAGGGUAUUCCUGUGCUGGGCCACAGCGAGGGCAUCUGUCACGUCUACAUUGACAACGACGCCAGCAUAGACAAAGCUAUUGAUGUCGUCAGAGACUCCAAAUGUGACUACCCUGCAGCCUGCAAUGCCAUGGAGACCCUCCUCAUUCACAGGGAUCUGCUGCGAACUCCUAUAUUUGACCAGGUCAUUGAUAUGCUGAGAACAGAAAAUGUGAAGAUCCAUGCAGGCCCCCGGUUUGCAUCCUAUUUAACUUUCAGCCCAUCUGAGGUGAAGUCUCUGAGGACAGAGUAUGGGGAUCUGGAGUGCUGCAUUGAGGUGGUAGACAGCAUGCAGGAUGCUGUGGACCACAUCCACAAAUAUGGCAGCUCCCACACUGAUGUCAUUAUUACAGAAAAUGAAGAGACAGCUGAACAGUUUCUGCAGCAGGUGGACAGCGCCUGUGUAUUCUGGAACGCCAGCUCUCGCUUUGCCGAUGGCUACCGCUUUGGCCUAGGAGCGGAGGUUGGUAUCAGUACAGCACGGAUACACGCCAGAGGUCCAGUGGGUUUGGAGGGGCUUCUGACCACCAAAUGGGUCCUUCGAGGAGAAGGGCACACAGCGGCUGACUUCUCUGAGCAAGGCAGUAUGAAAUACCUUCAUGAAAACAUCCCUGUACCCCAGGGGAGCUUUAAUUAAGUGCCCAACCAAAGAGCCAUCAACAGGAAUCCAGAUUACUGAUGUCUACCCAGAGUUCAUUUGAAGAUGAAUAACAAUCUCCUGAGACUAUGAUUGGUUGUUACGUGACUGGUGAGAGGGAAAGGUUUUUGGUAAAAGAAAAACACUAAAUUCUGUUAUUUACAUAUGACCGGUGAAACAAAGUAUACACAGACAAAGCUCUCUCCUCCUGUUUAAAAAAAAAAAAAAAAAGAAGAAGAAAUGAUUGGCCUAGCUGUGGUUUUAUAACUUAUUUUUCUACAUGCAAACUAUCCCUUGGCCUUUUUGUAAUGUACUUUAAGUGUUGUUUCUGCAGGAUUGUGGUUUAGGUAUUUUGCUGUCCUUCCUCUUUGCACAGAUGAUUUAAUAAAUAUGCUGUACAGUUCUUUA